AACCUGGGAACUGCAUUCGAAACUGGCAGGCUAGAGUCUUGUAGAGGGGGGUAGAAUUCCAGGUGUAGCGGUGAAAUGCGUAGAGAUCUGGAGGAAUACCGGUGGCGAAGGCGGCCCCCUGGACAAAGACUGACGCUCAGGUGCGAAAGCGUGGGGAGCAAACAGGAUUAGAUACCCUGGUAGUCCACGCCGUAAACGAUGUCGAUUUGGAGGUUGUGCCCUUGAGGCGUGGCUUCCGGAGCUAACGCGUUAAAUCGACGCCUGGGGAGUACGGCCGCAAGGUUAAAACUCAAAUGAAUUGACGGGGGCCCGCACAAGCGGUGGAGCAUGUGGUUUAAUUCGAUGCAACGCGAAGAACCUUACCUGGUCUUGACAUCCACAGAACUUUCCAGAGAUGGAUUGGUGCCUUCGGGAACUGUGAGACAGGUGCUGCAUGGCUGUCGUCAGCUCGUGUUGUGAAAUGUUGGGUUAAGUCCCGCAACGAGCGCAACCCUUAUC
rnacentral:rRNA from 1 species